AUUGAACGCUGGCGGCAGGCCUAACACAUGCAAGUCGAACGAGUGGCGGACGGGUGAGUAAUGUCUGGGAAACUGCCCGAUGGAGGGGGAUAACUACUGGAAACGGUAGCUAAUACCGCAUACCAUCGGAUGUGCCCAGAUGGGCUUAGCUAGUAGGUGGGGUAACGGCUCACCUAGGCGACGAUCCCUAGCUGGUCUGAGCGGAUGACGAGCCACACUGGAACUGAGAAACGGACCAGACUCCUACGUGAGGCAGCAGUGGGGAAUAUUGCACAAUGGGCGCAAGCCUGAUGCAGCCAUGCCGGGGUUAUGAAGGAGGCCUUCGGGUUGUAAAGUACGUUCAGCGAGGAGGCGGUACUCGCAGAAGAAGCAGCGGCUAACUCCGUGCCAGCAGCCGCGGUAAUGCCU
rnacentral:rRNA from 1 species